rnacentral:rRNA from 1 species
GGACGAACGCUGGCGGCGUGCUUAACACAUGCAAGUCGAGCGGUAAGGCCCUUUCGGGGGUACACGAGCGGCGAACGGGUGAGUAACACGUGGGUGACCUGCCCUCAGCUCUGGGAUAAGCCUGGGAAACCGGGUCUAAUACUGGAUAUGACUCCAUGACGCAUGUUGUGGGGUGGAAAGCCUUGUGCGGCUGAGGAUGGGCCCGCGGCCUAUCAGCUUGUUGGUGGGGUGANGGGCCUACCAAGGCGACGACGGGUAGCCGGCCUGAGAGGGCGACCGGCCACACUGGGACUGAGACACGGCCCAGACUCCUGCGGGA